ensembl:snoRNA
GAACUGUGAUGAACACAUUUAUCCCGAAUCUGAAAGCAUUGAUGAGACAACGUUUACGGAUCUGACUACUGAGUU